rnacentral:rRNA from 1 species
CCUACGGGUGGCAGCAGUGAGGAAUAUUGGUCAAUGGACGAGAGUCUGAACCAGCCAAGUAGCGUGAAGGAUGACUGCCCUAUGGGUUGUAAACUUCUUUUAUAAAGGAAUAAAACGAGGCACGUGUGCCUUUUUGUAUGUACUUUAUGAAUAAGGAUCGGCUAGCUCCGUGCCAGCAGCCGCGGUAAUACGGAGGAUCCGAGCGUUAUCCGGAUUUAUUGGGGUUAAAGGGAGCGUAGAUGGGUUGUUAAGUCAGUUGUGAAAGUUUGCGGCUCAACCGUAAAAUUGCAGUUGAUACUGGCAGUCUUGAGUACAGUAGAGGUAGGCGGAAUUCGUGGUGUAGCGGUGAAAUGCUUAGAUAUCACGAAGAACCCCGAUUGCGAAGGCAGCUUACUAAACUGUGACUGACAUUGAUGCUCGAAAGUGUGGGUAUCAAACAGGAUUAGAUACCCGGGUAGUC